rnacentral:misc_RNA from 1 species
UUCAGCAGUUCACAGGCAUCAAUACGGUUAUGUAUUACAGUCCAACAAUUGUACAGAUGGCUGGGUUUAAAUCAAAUCAGCUAGCAUUACUUCUGUCUCUCAUUGUUGCUUUAAUGAAUGCCAUGGGUACUGUAGUGGGAAUUUACCUCAUUGAUCACUUUGGACGCAAAAAGUUGGCAUUGACAAGCUUAUCCGGUGUAAUUGUGUCCUUGAUUCUCCUAGCUGUAGCAUUUUUCUUAGAGUCAUCUACUUCAGGCAAUGUUGGGGCUUAUGGGUGGAUUGCUGUAAUAGGCUUAGCCCUCUAUAUUGCUUUCUUUGCACCUGGUAUGGGUCCUGUCCCAUGGACAGUGAACUCAGAAAUAUACCCAGAGUCCUACAGAGGAAUGUGUGGUGGCAUGUCUGCUACUGUCAACUG